rnacentral:lncRNA from 12 species
GCCAUGCAUACUUUAUAUUUGAGAGUUCAAUGUCAGAAUGUGGGAGAAGAGUGGUGCACAGUGCCUGAUGAGGUUUACAUAUGCUCUCACCUGAACAAAAGCUGAGAUGAAAACCAAGCCCAGGAAAUAAAAAUGGAAGAAACAACACACAAGUUCAAUAGCUUCAGAGGUCAAGAAUUUAUUUGGAUAAGCAAGGCUGGAGCAGCACCGGAGAGCGUGCAAAUAAUUUCCCCCCAAAUCUGGACUCCAGGACACUCCUCCUGCACACAGAUGAACGCCCCCAUGAGCAAAUUGCCUCUCCAGCCUGUCCAGAGUCACCUAGACUGCUGGCAAAUGGUUUUUUCAGAGCAAGGUAAGCACUGUGGAGAACCGGAGGCUGUAUAUUUAAACAAUUAUGGGCCUCUGCGUGUCUCUGCCUCCUGCCGUACAGUCCCGAGCAAGAUGGUGUAA